AUGCUAUACUUGAAAGGUUGAUUUACUUAUCUCUUUUCCAAGGCUGAGAGAGAUAGGAGCAACCCUUGGUGCUUAGCUUCUUUCACCAAGCAUAUUACACGCGGGAAAACCGCUAAAGGAGAAAAUGAUG
rnacentral:ncRNA from 1 species